AGCAGCCGCGGUAAUUCCAGCUCCAAUAGCGUAUAUUAAAGUUGUUGCAGUUAAAAAGCUCGUAGUUGAAUUUCGGGGUUAGUAGGUUGGUCAUGCCUCUGGUAUGUACUGGUCUCACUGAUUCCUCCUUCCUGAUGAGCCGUAAUGCCAUUAAUUUGGUGUUGCGGGGAAUUUGGACUGUUACUUUGAAAAAAUUAGAGUGUUUAAAGCAAGCUAACGCUUGAAUACAUUAGCAUGGAAUAAUGAAAUAGGACGUUCGAUCCUAUUUUGUUGGUUUUAGGAUCAACGUAAUGAUUAAUAGGGAUAGUUGGGGGCAUUAGUAUUCAAUUGUCAGAGGUGAAAUUCUUGGAUUUAUUGAAGACUAACUACUGCGAAAGCAUUUGCCAAGGAUGUUUUCAUUAAUCAAGAACGAAAGUUAGGGGAUCGAAGACGAUCAGAUACCGUCGUAGU
rnacentral:rRNA from 1 species